rnacentral:rRNA from 1 species
CCAAUAGCGUAUAUUAAAGUUGUUGCAGUUAAAAAGCUCGUAGUUGAAUUUCGGGAUCAAUUUGCUGGUCGUGCCUUCGGUACGCACUGGUAUUAUUGGUUUCUCCUUUCUGAUGAAUCGCGAUGUCAUUAAUUUGGUGUCGUGGGGAAUCAGGACUGUUACUUUGAAAAAAUUAGAGUGUUUAAAGCAGGCUCACGCUUGAAUACAUUAGCAUGGAAUAAUGAAACAGGACGUUUGAUUCUAUUUUGUUGGUUUCUAGGAUCGACGUAAUGAUUAAUAGGGAUAGUUGGGGGCAUUAGUAUUCAAUUGUCAGAGGUGAAAUUCUUGGAUUUAUUGAAGGCUAACUACUGCGAAAGCAUUUGCCAAGGAUGUUUUCAUUAAUCAAGAACGAAAGUUAGGGGAUCGAAGACGAUCAGAUACCGUCGUAGUCUUAACCAUAAACUAUGCCGACUAGGGAUCGGAUGAUGUUAAUUUUUUAAUGACUCAUUCGGCGCCUUACG